GUGAGGACUCGGGAGGUGGAGGGUGGUGUUGCCAGGCCGUUGUCUCAGCUCACUUCUCCCCCCACCUCCUCUCUCCUCAG
rnacentral:pre_miRNA from 2 species